rnacentral:lncRNA from 1 species
GGUGUUAAACUUUAACAGGUGUUUCCCAAACACCCCCUUAAUUAAGCAUACACAUUUGAGAAUAAUCAGUAAAAUGGGUUGUACUGCUUUGGAACUUGUCAUUCGAGUUCUAGUACUACUUCAAUACAAUAAAACCACACCGUAUUGGGAGAAGUUUGCAACUUUGGGCUUUGGUGCCUUAUCAUACUUGUUGUGAUGAUUUAAACCUAAAACAACCUGAGAGAUGAGAGAUGAAUCACAACUUCACAACACCAUCAGAUCCUG